rnacentral:tRNA from 1 species
GCCGGUGUGGUGAAAUUGGCAGACGCGCUGGACUCAAAAUCCAGUCCUGGCGACAGGGUAUCGGUUCAAGUCCGAUCACCGGCA